GGACUACCGGGGUUUCUAAUCCCGUUCGCUCCCCUGGCUUUCGCCCCUCAGCGUCAGAAACGAGCCAGGACACUGCCUUCGCCUUGGUGUUCUUCCGGAUAUCUACGCAUUUCACCACUCCACCCGGAGUUCCAUGUCCCUCUCUCGCUCUCAAGUUUUCCAGUUUUCGAGGGCGUUCACCGGUUAAGCCGUUGAUUGUCGCCUCAAACUUAAAAGACCGCCUGCGGGCGCUUUACGCCCAAUAAUUCCGGACAACGCUCGCCCCCUACGUAUUACCGCGGCUGCUGGCAC
rnacentral:rRNA from 1 species